GCCCCUGUGGCUCAAAGGAUUGGGCACCAGCCCCAUAUACUGGAGGUGGCAGGUUCAAACCCUGCCCCGGCCA
rnacentral:tRNA from 1 species